AUGAACGCUGGCGGUAUGCUUAACACAUGCAAGUCGAACGGUGCUUUAGGGCACAGUGGCGGACGGGUGAGUAACGCGUGAGAAUCUGGCUUUAGGUCUGGGACAACCACUGGAAACGGUGGCUAAUACCGGAUGUGCCGAAAGGUGAAAGGUUAACUGCCUGAAGAUGAGCUCGCGUCUGAUUAGCUAGUAGGUGUGGUAAAGGCGCACCUAGGCGACGAUCAGUAGCUGGUCUGAGAGGACGAUCAGCCACACUGGGACUGAGACACGGCCCAGACUCCUACGGGAGGCAGCAGUGGGGAAUUUUCCGCAAUGGGCGAAAGCCUGACGGAGCAAUACCGCGUGAGGGAGGAAGGCUCUUGGGUCGUAAACCUCUUUUCUCAGGGAAGAACAAAAUGACGGUACCUGAGGAAUAAGCAUCGGCUAACUCCGU
rnacentral:rRNA from 1 species